ACCACCGGCAGAUCCUUGCAUUUGAAUCGAAAACCGAUGGCAUUUGAAUCUCAACUCCACCGUUCGUGAAUUAUCCCCAUCCUUAAACACAAACUCACCGGCCAAAUAGAUACUAUUAAAAUUGUGUUUAAUGCAAACAAAUGAAAAUGUCAA